rnacentral:rRNA from 1 species
AGAUUGAACGCUGGCGGCAGGCCUAACACAUGCAAGUCGAGCGGCAGCACGGGUACUUGUACCUGGUGGCGAGCGGCGGACGGGUGAGUAAUGCCUAGGAAUCUGCCUGGUAGUGGGGGAUAACGCUCGGAAACGGACGCUAAUACCGCAUACGUCCUACGGGAGAAAGCAGGGGACCUUCGGGCCUUGCGCUAUCAGAUGAGCCUAGGUCGGAUUAGCUAGUUGGUGAGGUAAUGGCUCACCCAAGGCGACGAUCCGUAACUGGUCUGAGAGGAUGAUCAGUCACACUGGAACUGAGACACGGUCCAGACUCCUACGGGUGGCAGGCAGUGGGGAAUAUUGGACAAAUGGGGCGAAAAGCCGUAGGACUCCCAAGCCCAAGUCGACCGCCGGUGUGUAGGAAGAAGGUCUUACGGAUUGGUAAAAGCUAACGUUUAAGGUUGGAGGAAGGCUAACGUUACC